GUUCAAUCAUCACCAGAAUUUAUUUAUCCCCAGCCCUGAAGAUGUCACUGUGGGUGUUGGUGAUGGAAUACACACAAUAUACAACACUUACAUAUAUCUGCCAUCAUUUUGUAAACACUAGUUGAAUGAAUGAAUGUUUAUUCUCCAAUGAGAAAAGGGCACAACAAAGUCAAAAUGUGAUUUGUUUCCGUUUUAUUUUCCUAUCUCAAGUUCAGUAAAAGAUGCAGAGAAGUGAUUCACACAUAUCACAAGCUAUCUCCCGCCGCCCAUAUAUAGUAUACAUGUACACUG